UUCUGCGGCUUUUCUCAGAUGCAAAUGGAUAUAUUCAGUUCCACUACUGCUUAAGUAGCAUAGGGACUUACUACUGUAAGUCUACUCAAAUGAAAUCUGCUACUUCUUCCCAUUGCCCAGUGACUGGGGCACUUUCCUGCAAAGUUCAAAUCCUUUCUCUGCAUCAGGCAAAAGGGAAAAUUGAAUGCAGGUCUCUAAUAUGCUAGGAUUCAAGUGCCUAAAUGUAUCUGCUCCUGGGACUGGCUUUCUGAAGAGGUCAGGCACCCAGCCUGCCUCUGACAGGCUCUGCUAAAGAGACUAAGCCAACCCAUAUCCACCUGUGUGGAAGGUUAAUUGGAUAAGUAGCUGAGAGAGAUUGAGAGAAUCUAAACAGAAAGAGAAGAGAAGGUAAAGCUCUCCAACCAGGGGCAGACCUUGAGUAAGCAAGGGAAAGACUGCAGUGCUUUCCAGGCAGCUGAGAAGUCUGAGGCCUUACAGCAGAAGGAGCUGCUGUUGGAAAUCAGAGACUGUUAUUUUGGGACUUUUAAGUUUUGCCCGAGCUCUGAGGCUGUUAAAGUGACCUGAUUCUUACCGCACCAAGGGAGAAACCGAGGCAAGCCACAACAGAGCCACGCUCAACCACCAGGAAGUGCUCAGGAGGUGAUAGUGACCUUUUCAACUGUCAGACCGAGAAUAUAGACUAAAUGGCUAUCCUUAUCCUGCAGUUAGGGCAAUCAUUACUCAUGCUGCCUUUAGCAAAACUAAACAGCUAAAAUAUAAAAUCUGGGGAACUCUUUCUAUAAGCAUCCAUUUAAUGUGUUGUGUAUUUGCUGGAUUAACUCAACUUCACUAAGAAAUAGCUUGAUUAUUGGAUUCUGUCAGCUGUAGAUAAAGAACAUAUUUAUCUUCUAGGAUAGGAAGCAGGUAUUUUAAGGCUACAGCAUUCAUAACAAAAGGGGCCACCUUUAUGGCUUUGGAAAUCUGAUUACAUGAGCUUAAAUGGGAAAGCUUGGCUAGCUUAAGAGGGAUUUAGUCAGCUGUUGUAUUAAAAACUUCAUGCUAACUCUUUCCAACACAGAAUUGCUAGUGAUAAGUCAACUAGUGAAUACUGCAUAUAUUCCUGAUUUUCCAGCACCAACUGCUUUGUGUGUAAUUCAGCUUUGCACAGUAUCAUGGUUGGUUUGGGUGGUGUCUGCUGCUGAACUUCAUCAGUGAUCACAAAGCUACAAGAAUAGAC